UACGGAGGAUCCAAGCGUUAUCCGGAAUCAUUGGGCUUAAAGGGUGCGUAGGCGGUUUUGUAAGUCAGUGGUGAAAGCCCAUCGCUCAACGGUGGAACGGCCAUUGAUACUGCAAGACUUGAAUUAUUAGGAAGUAACUAGAAUAUGUAGUGUAGCGGUGAAAUGCUUAGAGAUUACAUGGAAUACCAAUUGCGAAGGCAGGUUACUGGUAAUAUAUUGACGCUGAUGGACGAAAGCGUGGGGAGCGAACAGG
rnacentral:rRNA from 1 species